AGAUUCGUGUUGUAUCCAAACCAAACACAGCAGUGGUCAUGGUUAAGUUAACAAAAAAAGGGUCAGAGUCAAGUUAAUUUUUAGGAACAAAAGUCAACCCAAUGUAACUGUAAUUGAAAUUAAGGAAAGCCAUUUGUGCAAAGAAAAGGACAAGUCUGGAUUUUCCAUUAGCAAAAGAUAAAACUCAAGUUAACAAUUAACUUGAGUAUAUUUAAAUGACUCAAGAAUCAUCAUCAACCAUUCCAGUUGCAAAAAAUACCAGCUGAAGCGUCACAAUUUGAUGGAUAAUCAAUCGUUGCCAAACAAUGUUUAGCUUUACUCUACAAAACUUGAUAAUUUUUAAUAUUAAUCGUUAUAUUAUCGGGUUAUCAGUUUUGCCUUUGAUUAAGCUAUAACUCUGUAAAAUGGUUGAAAGUUGGAGGAGAGAGAGAAUGAAAUCAGAGUUGAAACUGAAUUUUUAUUGAUUCCUUUUCAUUUUUCUUUUCUGGUACAAUUGAUGGUGAUUGUUCAAUUGUUCACCAUUUUAGACCGUCAAUCCAAAUAAUGAUACAAAAAUAAAUGGUGAACAACGGUUGAACAAUUUACUGUUGUAUUUAUAUGAACUAUUGUUGAACAUAUAAAAAAAGGAACCAAUUGUAUUUUGUAAAAAAAGAAGUUAUUUGAUUUCUUUUUUUCGCUAUUCUCUCACUGUCUCUCUCUCUCUUUGCCUAGUAUUUCAUUGUGUUAGUUAACAGAUAAUAGUUACAGGCAGAAUUGAAUGAUUUAAUAUACAAGUUACUAUAAGCUAAAUUGUGAUUUGUAAGAUUUGAAUUGACGUCUAAAAAGGUGUUUUGAGAAGGCAAAAACUGAAGGAGUUAAAGGAUUGAGACUAAAUCGUUUAUUAAAGUAAAUGAGGUAAAAAGAGAAGAAGCAAUCUUCAGGCGAUUUGAUACCUUUUUUUGUGAGAAACGUACCUUUUAUCUUGGGUUACUCUUUAUGAAUUACAUGCCUUUGGGAUACACAAAUAAAAGAUGACAUUAGUCUCUUGACAUUCACCUUUUCGCCAUCAAAAUCAUCAUUCGCUUUACCCUGCAAAAAGUCGAUCAUCAUCAUCAUCUUAAGAGUUUACCUUUUAUCUUGAUUUAUUUCUUUUCCAUCAGAUAAUCAUAUAUAAUCGUUUCUCCUGAUGAUGCCAAAGAAUGGGAAAAGCAGCUCUAAUCACCCAAAAUUUAUCAUACAACAUUGAAUCAAAGUAAAUGUUUUACUUUGCAAUCAUUUUUGCUAUCGUUAAUCUCUUUAGACUCACCUUUGUAUGCCAGGAACACAUUAUUUGGUGAGAUUAACGAUUCAUCUGGAUACAAUUAAAGAGUGAAUAAAGUUAGAUUCAAUGAAUAGUUGCAGUUGAUCAAUUAUUAGAGGCAACACUAAUCAAUCCUUUCAAUCAACUUUACCAGUUGUUUCAUUGAACCGUUUACCUCCAAUGGCUUCAAUUUUUUGCUCAUCUAAAUCAAGCCAAACCUUCAAGUCAAUCCAAUGGAAAUGUUUCAAUCCAAGCCAGAAUGUGUAAUUUCAAGACUUAAAGCCUUCCUUAAAACAUUAAUUAACCUUUGAAUCAAGUUAAAUACAGUUUGAAUGGCAGUUGGAUUACAAAGUUGGAGGAAAAGUAAAGCGGCGAAAAGCUUCAAAAUAUUCAUCGAUUCUCACUGUGCAACUAUUUUUACAAUUUGUUUCCAAUAUUCAAGAUUGGGUGGAAAAAGAACAAGAUAGCAACUUGAGAUGGAAUCAUAUUUUCCCAUGUUUUGUUUCAAAAAUAACCAGUUUCGAUUGGAUUGUGAGAAAUGGAAGAAACUUAAAAUGUUAGAUUGGUCCAUUGAUCAACAACCUAACAAGAUAUUCAAUUUUCACUUGCAAGCAACAUCAACAUAGAAAAGUGUUUUGGCAAAAGGAAUAGACAAGAAAAAAAAGAAGGAAAAGCAAAAAACAAAACAACUAUAAGUUAUAAUCAGAUUAUGAGAACCAAAGGAACAAAAAAGUUGAACCGAGAAAAAAAAAGACCAAGAAAAGAUGAUAAAAGGAGAGGAAAAUGUUGAACCAAUAAAAUGAAAUGGACUAAGUUGACAUGAUUGAUUGAAUAGGAACAAAAAUUGUUCAUUGGCCAAUACGAAUAACAAAUGAUAUUUGGGAACAAUUGUGAGUAAAAUUUUGCUUCUCUCAACAUUUUUAAAGACAACAGCAAGAAUCAACAAAAAAUGGAAGCAAAAAUGAAUAAACAAACAACAAACAAACAAGUGAAUGGAUGGAAAUGCAAAGUAGACAAAGAUUCAAUAUGGACAAUUUUACCAACAAGGAAAAAGGAGUCGAUUAUGGACAUUACAUGGCACAAUCAAUCAAUUCAUCUUUGUCAACGUUUUAAUCAUUGGAACUUGGAUUCAAUUGAAAAUCGUUUGCCAAGCGAUGGUUACAAAGCAAUGACGAAUUUUUACACCACAACCUCUGACGUCCAUUUAAUUCAGUGUUUUAAAUGUUAGGAUAAAAUUAGCUUCACCAGGCUCAACAAGAUAUUGAAUGCAAAAUUGAAAGAAUCUUGCAUUUUUUAUAUUUUUACUCAGAAAAUGAAUUGUAAUUUUCACAAUUUAUUCAAUUUCACAAUAGAUUUCACAAUAUUUAAUGUUAUUCAUGUUCUGUUCAUUUCCGUGUUAUACAACUUCAAUGAUUGUUCAGAUAACAAACACGCAGAUUCAAGUCACAAUCAAUCUAUAUUAGGUUUGUUAGGUAACAUUAAAUUUCAAGUUGAUUCGUAUUUUGUGUUUUCCUCAAAAUAGUGUCUCAACUUUUACCGACUCUUUUCUUGUGUUAUAUAAAAUUGACUUAUUUUUGUCUGUAAA